UACGAAGGGGGGCUAGCGUUGCUCGGAAUCACUGGGCGUAAAGCGCACGUAGGCGGAUUUGUAAGUCAGGGGUGAAAUCCCGGGGCUCAACCUCGGAACUGCCUUUGAUACUGCAAAUCUCGAGUCCGGGAAGAGGUGAGUGGAAUUCCUGAGUGUAGAGGUGAAAUUCGUAGAGUAUUAGGAAGAACACCAGUGGCGAAGGCGGCUCAACUGGUCC
rnacentral:rRNA from 1 species